ACGCUCGACACCUACAGGAGGCAGCAGUGGGGAAUAUUGCACAAUGGGGGAAACCCUGAUGCAGCGACGCCGCGUGAGCGAAGAAGUAUUUCGGUAUGUAAAGCUCUAUCAGCAGGGAAGAAAGUGACGGUACCUGACUAAGAAGCACCGGCUAAAUACGUGCCAGCAGCCGCAGUAAUCUGAGCGGGCUGGCAAGGC
rnacentral:rRNA from 1 species